rfam:Lachnospiraceae bacterium A4 genomic scaffold acPFC-supercont1.21, whole genome shotgun sequence.
GCGAGCCGUGUGCAUUGAGAGGUGCAAGCACGGUUUUGGGAGGGGGCUGCGCAGACCUACCAUAGAAAUGUGGCAAGGCGGCGCUUUCCUACUCUAC